GAUGAACGCUGGCGGCGUGCUUAACACAUGCAAGUCGAACGGAAAGGCCCAAGCUUGCUUGGGUACUCGAGUGGCGAACGGGUGAGUAACACGUGGGUGAUCUGCCCUGCACUUCGGGAUAAGCCUGGGAAACUGGGUCUAAUACCGGAUAGGACGAUGGUUUGGAUGCCAUUGUGGAAAGUUUUUUCGGUGUGGGAUGAGCUCGCGGCCUAUCAGCUUGUUGGUGGGGUAAUGGCCUACCAAGGCGUCGACGGGUAGCCGGCCUGAGAGGGUGUACGGCCACAUUGGGACUGAGAUACGGCCCAGACUCCUACGGGAGGCAGCAGUGGGGAAUAUUGCACAAUGGGCGCAAGCCUGAUGCAGCGACGCCGCGUGGGGGAUGACGGCCUUCGGGUUGUAAACUCCUUUCGCUAGGGACGAAGCGUUUUUGCGACGGUACCUGGAGAAGAAGCACCGGCUAACUACGUG
rnacentral:rRNA from 1 species